rnacentral:rRNA from 1 species
CCCUACGGGGCGCAGCAGGCGCGAAACCUCCGCAAUGUGAGAAAUCGCGACGGGGGGAUCCCAAGUGCCAUUCUUAACGGGAUGGCUUUUCAUUAGUGUAAAGAGCUUUUGGAAUAAGAGCUGGGCAAGACCGGUGCCAGCCGCCGCGGUAACACCGGCAGCUCUAGUGGUAGCAGUUUUUAUUGGGCCUAAAGCGUCCGUAGCCGGUUUAAUAAGUCUCUGGUGAAAUCUUGCAGCUUAACUGUGGGAAUUGCUGGAGAUACUAUUAGGCUGAGAUCGGAGAGUAGAGA